GACGAACGCUGGCGGCGCGCCUAACACAUGCAAGUCGAACGGAGUCAAGAGGAGCUUGCUUUUCUUGACUUAGUGGCGAACGGGUGAGUAACGCGUGAGUAACCUGCCCUGGAGUGGGGGACAACAGUUGGAAACGACUGCUAAUACCGCAUAAGCCCACGGAUCUGCAUGGAUCUGCGGGAAAAGGAUUUAUUCGCUCUAGGAUGGACUCGCGUCCAAUUAGCUAGUUGGUGAGGUAACGGCCCACCAAGGCGACGAUUGGUAGCCGGACUGAGAGGUUGAACGGCCACAGUGGGACUGAGACACGGCCCAGACUCCUACGGGAGGCAGCAGUGGGGGAUAUUGCACAAUGGGGGAAACCCUGAUGCAGCGACGCCGCGUGGAGGAAGAAGGUUUUCGGAUUGUAAACCCCUGUCGUUAGGGACGAUAAUGACGGUACCUAACAAGAAAGCACCGGCUAACUACGUG
rnacentral:rRNA from 1 species